CUCAACUACAAUCAACAGACCACAGACUUUGUGUGAUGCUGGGGUGACAUCUAAGGAAGGGCCUUUCCAAUGAUAGGGGGCUGAUUCCAGAACUCCCUGCUCAGUGGACUUUUUGUGUGAAUUGAGGUGGUCGGUCCGAAAUUGCGACACCAGUAGGAUUAUACUUGUGGGUUACUGCUUAUUCUGUUUUUGUUGAUUUCACAGACUUCAAACCCACUUCACUGCCAUGGCCUCUGGUUCCUGAUUCUGUUGUUUUCAUACUGAAGCUAGUACCGUCUGGGAUGUUCAGCUACAUUAUUUUGCAUUAAACUUCCCAAGGGUUCUAUAUCCACAAAGGUGCUCUAUGCCUGAGAUGCGACUCCAAAGAAUCACUGAGUGGGCAGACUUUUGUAAGCCAACUACCCAACUACCUUGCCCGCCAUCUUGCCCAGAACCACGGCAGUUGGACUGCCCUGAACCCAGCAGCAAAGCACAGAGCAAGUGGAACGAUAUCUGCUUUCCUUAGUCUUUGCCUACUGAAAAUGACAUCUUACCCUGCCGCUUCCUGCCCUUUGGGAGACUUGAAGCCUUUGCUGCAAACUCUGGGGCCUUGCUAUAACGCACCUGCCGCUGCAGCCACAGAGUUCAGGAUAACAUCGGUUCAUCGUGGGCUCCACCUAAGGGAGUUGAGCUAGCAGAUGAGGCCGCGGGGCUGGGCUUGCCCUUCUGCACCACGGGCAUGAGGAACGAAGUGGUGGCCAGGACGGGUGCCCCGUGAGUCAAGCUGUGGAUUUUCAAACACCCUUGGUUUUCUGUGUCCCUGGUUUCCCACAGAGAUCCCCAUGAGGAAAGAUGCCUGCCUGCUUUUUGAGCUCUCUGGAUCUUCCCAUUAGAUAGCUUCUCUUGGCAUCUGAAAGGCAGCCUGCCAUUCUGUUCUCCUGUGGAAUACAGAUGGCCCAGCCCACGCCUCUCACUAAUGAGGAGCACAUGCAGAGCCUUCUUGCUGGAGGCUCCCUUCAACAACACCAGCCCUCCUUCCCCGUGCAGGCCAGUCACCGUUGACCACGGCAUUUACGGCUGAGAAGGCUGCUUGCUGCUCUCCCACUCACAGAGUUGAACAGAAAAUCUAUCGGGGAGCCCUGGGAAAUGAGUCCCAUUCCACUAGAAUCUGAAACAUUGAAGAUGAAGCUUGGGCUGCCCAUUUGAUCGCAAAGUUGAGGUUUGGGGUUCCAGCUGUCCACAGAGGCUGCUGAGUUUAAAUGUGAGCGAACACUGGAAGUUCUUCAGUAGGAACCUGACGAGACGCUGUACAGAGGUGGGCCUGACAGGUCAAUCUGCCAAUGCUGUGAAACCCUCACUAGGGUUGGGAACUGACGAGAAUGUUAAAAGCACUAAAGUAUAGUAGAAAAAGCAUACAUUUUUGGUGAGACAGGUGCACGUCAAGUCUUAGCUGUUACUACUUCCUACCUUUUUGACCUUGGACAAGGUAUUUCACCCUUCUAUGCACUAAUUCCUUUAUCUGUGAAAAAAGCACAAUGCCCAUGUCAUAGGCUGUUCUGAGGAUUAAAUGGGACAGCACAUGAAAAGACCUUAACAUGGUGCCUUGUACCCAGUAAGCAAUAAAUGGGAAUUUCCUUUUCUUUCUCCUUUUCUUGUUUUCUCUCUCUAGUAGAAAGUUGAAAGACAUACUCCAGCACGAUGGGACAUCAAGGUGUGCUACAAACAAUGGCUCCAUGUGAAUUUCUAUACAAUUCUGCUCUCUUGUUUUAUCUAAAACUUGAUUCAUUUUUGAGACGUGGGAUGGUUUCUUUUUUCCUCGUUAUUGCAAGUCAGAUGCAGGUCUGAUAUUUGUGACUGCAAGAGUUCCACACUGCCAAUACGGACCCCAAUAGAAAGGCAGAACCCCUUUUGGUUUAAAGACUGUAACUCAUUCCUUUAACUCUCCAAGCUACUGAGGGGAGAUCACCAUCACUAGCUGUCUGCAGAGGAUGUCAACAAUUCUGGUCAAUCCUGCCAUGUAUUAGGUGUGGUCUAACUGUUAGUACCCACUGAUCCAGAAAUCUCUCUGGGAGUCAUUUUCAUUCUUUCAGAAAACAAGGGACACUGAGGUAUGCUGUUCUCAAGGA